rnacentral:misc_RNA from 1 species
AACGCACAUUGCGCCCGCCGGCAUUCCGGCGGGCAUGCCUGUCCGAGCGUCAUUUUCACCACUCAGGCCCCCCUGCUGGCCUGGCGUUGGGGACCUGCGGGAGGCCUUGCGAGGCCCCCGCAGCCCCCUAAAACGAGUGGCGGGCCUGCCCGGCAGCCCCCUUAGCGCAGUAGUAUCUCUCUCCUCGCUUCGGGAGCCCGGCGGGCGCCGGCCUUGAAACCCCCCACCAAGCCCGCUCCCCGCACCCCGGGGACGGCACGCUCUUGACCUCGGAUCAGGUAGGACUACCCGCUGAACUUAA